ACCCGUGGGGGCGUGCCUAUACAUGCAAGUCGAACGAACUCUGGUAUUGAUUGGUGCUUGCAUCAUGAUUUACAUUUGAGUGAGUGGCGAACUGGUGAGUAACACGUGGGAAACCUGCCCAGAAGCGGGGGAUAACACCUGGAAACAGAUGCUAAUACCGCAUAACAACUUGGACCGCAUGGUCCGAGCUUGAAAGAUGGCUUCGGCUAUCACUUUUGGAUGGUCCCGCGGCGUAUUAGCUAGAUGGUGGGGUAACGGCUCACCAUGGCAAUGAUACGUAGCCGACCUGAGAGGGUAAUCGGCCACAUUGGGACUGAGACACGGCCCAAACUCCUACGGGAGGCAGCAGUAGGGAAUCUUCCACAAUGGACGAAAGUCUGAUGGAGCAACGCCGCGUGAGUGAAGAAGGGUUUCGGCUCGUAAAACUCUGUUGUUAAAGAAGAACAUAUCUGAGAGUAACUGUUCAGGUAUUGACGGUAUUUAACCAGAAAGCCACGGCUAACUACGUGCCAGCAGCCGCGGUAAUACGUAGGUGGCAAGCGUUGUCCGGAUUUAUUGGGCGUAAAGCGAGCGCAGGCGGUUUUUUAAGUCUGAUGUGAAAGCCUUCGGCUCAACCGAAGAAGUGCAUCGGAAACUGGGAAACUUGAGUGCAGAAGAGGACAGUGGAACUCCAUGUGUAGCGGUGAAAUGCGUAGAUAUAUGGAAGAACACCAGUGCGAAGGCGGCUGUCAUGGUCUGUAACUGACGCUGAGGCUCGAAAGUAUGGGUAGCAAACAGGAUUAGAUACCCUGGUAGUCCAUACCGUAAACGAUGAAUGCUAAGUGUUGGAGGGUUUCCGCCCUUCAGUGCUGCAGCUAACGCAUUAAGCAUUCCGCCUGGGGAGUACGGCCGCAAGGCUGAAACUCAAAGGAAUUGACGGGGGCCCGCACAAGCGGUGGAGCAUGUGGUUUAAUUCGAAGCUACGCGAAGAACCUUACCAGGUCUUGACAUACUAUGCAAAUCUAAGAGAUUAGACGUUCCCUUCGGGGACAUGGAUACAGGUGGUGCAUGGUUGUCGUCAGCUCGUGUCGUGAGAUGUUGGGUUAAGUCCCGCAACGAGCGCAACCCUUAUUAUCAGUUGCCAGCAUUAAGUUGGGCACUCUGGUGAGACUGCCGGUGACAAACCGGAGGAAGGUGGGGAUGACGUCAAAUCAUCAUGCCCCUUAUGACCUGGGCUACACACGUGCUACAAUGGAUGGUACAACGAGUUGCGAACUCGCGAGAGUAAGCUAAUCUCUUAAAGCCAUUCUCAGUUCGGAUUGUAGGCUGCAACUCGCCUACAUGAAGUCGGAAUCGCUAGUAAUCGCGGAUCAGCAUGCCGCGGUGAAUACGUUCCCGGGCCUUGUACACACCGCCCGUCACACCAUGAGAGUUUGUAACACCCAAAGUCGGUGGGGUAACCUUUUAGGAACCAGCCGCCUAAAGGUGACAAAAUUG
rnacentral:rRNA from 1 species